rnacentral:rRNA from 1 species
UACGGGGGGGGCAAGCGUUGUUCGGAAUUACUGGGCGUAAAGGGCUCGUAGGCGGCCAACUAAGUCAGACGUGAAAUCCCUCGGCUUAACCGGGGAACUGCGUCUGAUACUGGAUGGCUAGAGGCUGGGAGAGGGAUGCGGAAUUCCAGGUGUAGCGGUGAAAUGCGUAGAUAUCUGGAGGAACACCGGUGGCGAAGGCGGCAUCCUGGACCAAUUCUGACGCUGAGGAGCGAAAGCCAGGGGAGCAAACGGG